UACGUAGGCCGCAAGCGUUGUUCGGAAUUACUGGGCGUAAAGAGUGUGUAGGCGGUGCUCUAAGUUCGGUGUGAAAUCUCCCGGCUUAACUGGGAGGGUGCGCCGGAAACUGGAGUGCUCGAGCGUGGGAGAGGAAAGCGGAAUUCCUGGUGUAGCGGUGAAAUGCGUAGAUAUCAGGAGGAACACCUGCGGUGUAGACGGCUUUCUGGACCAUUGCUGACGCUGAGACACGAAAGCGUGGGUAGCAAACAGG
rnacentral:rRNA from 1 species